ACGGGAGGCAGCAGUGGGGAAUAUUGGGCAAUGGGCGCAAGCCUGACCCAGCGACGCCGCGUGAGUGAUGAAGUAUUUCGGUAUGUAAAGCUCUUUAAGCAGGGAAGAUAAUGAGGGUACCUGCAGAAUAAGCACCGGCUAAAUACGUGCCAGCAGCCGCGGUAGUACGUAUGGUGCAAGCGUUAUCCGGAUUUACUGGGUGUAAAGGGAGCGUAGGUGGUUUGGCAAGCCAGAAGUGAAAACCCGGGGCUCAACUCCGUGGAUUGCUUUUGGAACUGUUGGACUAGAGUGCAGGAGGGGUAAGCGGAAUUCCCAGUGUAGCGGUGAAAUGCGUAGAUAUUGGGAGGAACACCAGCGGCGAAGGCGGCUUACUGGACUGUUACUGACACUGAGGCUCGAAAGCGUGGGGAGCAAACAGGAUUAGAUACCCUGGUA
rnacentral:rRNA from 1 species